AUGGGAGCUUGCUCCCUGAUGUUAGCGGCGGACGGGUGAGUAACACGUGGGUAACCUGCCUGUAAGACUGGGAUAACUCCGGGAAACCGGGGCUAAUACCGGAUGCUUGUUUGAACCGCAUGGUUCAGACAUAAAAGGUGGCUUCGGCUACCACUUACAGAUGGACCCGCGGCGCAUUAGCUAGUUGGUGAGGUAACGGCUCACCAAGGCGACGAUGCGUAGCCGACCUGAGAGGGUGAUCGGCCACACUGGGACUGAGACACGGCCCAGACUCCUACGGGAGGCAGCAGUAGGGAAUCUUCCGCAAUGGACGAAAGUCUGACGGAGCAACGCCGCGUGAGUGAUGAAGGUUUUCGGAUCGUAAAGCUCUGUUGUUAGGGAAGAACAAGUGCCGUUCAAAUAGGGCGGCACCUUGACGGUACCUAACCAGAAAGCCACGGCUAACUACGUGCCAGCAGCCGCGGUAAUACGUAGGUGGCAAGCGUUGUCCGGAAUUAUUGGGCGUAAAGGGCUCGCAGGCGGUUUCUUAAGUCUGAUGUGAAAGCCCCCGGCUCAACCGGGGAGGGUCAUUGGAAACUGGGGAACUUGAGUGCAGAAGAGGAGAGUGGAAUUCCACGUGUAGCGGUGAAAUGCGUAGAGAUGUGGAGG
rnacentral:rRNA from 1 species